GAUGAAGAACGUAGCGAAAUGCGAUAAGUAAUGUGAAUUGCAGAAUUCAGUGAAUCAUCGAAACUUUGAACGCACAUUGCGCCCCCUGGUAUUCCGGGGGGCAUGCCUGUUCGAGCGUCAUUUCACCACUCAAGCCUCGCUUGGUAUUGGGCAACGCGGUCCGCCGCGUGCCUCAAAUCGACCGGCUGGGUCUUCUGUCCCCUAAGCGUUGUGGAAACUAUUCGCUAAAGGGUGUUCGGGAGGCUACGCCGUAAAACAACCCCAUUUCUAAUGUUGACCUCGGAUCAGGUAGGGAUACCCGCUGAACUUAAGCAUAUCAAUAAGCGGAGGA
rnacentral:misc_RNA from 1 species